GGAGGUUCUUGGGUGACACACCCCAGAAUCGGGCUCCCUCCUGUCUGGUUCUAGCUGCGUCACCUGAGAAAUGCA
rfam:Myotis brandtii contig240855, whole genome shotgun sequence.